rnacentral:lncRNA from 1 species
GGGGAAGGCUACCUCCCUGGCUCUCAGUAGCUGCCUUCUUUCUGUGAUUUUACAUGUGGCCUGAGGGAAAGAGGAGCUCUCUGGGGUCUUUUCUUAUAAUGACAUUGGUUCUAUUAGAUCAGGGUACUACCUUUAUGACCUUAUUUAAUUUAAAUUACUACCAUAUAGGCCUUUUUUCCAGAUAUAGCCCCACUGGGGGUUAAGGCUUCAACAUUUGAAUUUGGAGGGUGCACACAUCUUCAGUCCAUAAAACCUUCUCCAUGAGGUUCUUGUAAAGAUUAAAUUAGCUUCUAUGUGUCAAGCAGUUGAAGAACGUCCUACAUAUUAUCAGGACUUAGUAAAUGUAGACAUUAGCUUAACCUUUACAUUUCCAUCAACAAACCUAAUACUUGCAGUGAUGUAUAUAAUUACUCCUCACCCCAGCACAAAAUCUAACUUUUUUUGCUAUGACAGUAACAAAUUACAAUUGGAGGCAAAACAUGUCAAUGCCAUCAAAAUGCUAGCUCCUUUGAGGGAAGAGACAGCCUUACUCAAAGAUUUCUCCUUACUCACAGUGAUCCUGGCUCUCAGUGAAUGUCCACAAAGUGAAUCCAUGAUAACAUUUUCAACAUAAAUGUCACAGAGCAAUUAUCAUGGGCUAGGUUAAUUAAUAUAGCCAUGCAAAAUAUUUUCCUCAUCUUCACAUACUACGUUUCUUCUGCCAAAAUGUGCACUCAAUUCUGAAUCCUUCAUUCAUUUCAUAAAUAUUUGUUGACUGUUCAUAUCUGAUGGGGAGAAGGAGGUAGCUGGAGAUGACUUUCCCAG